CGGAUGUCUGGCUAUAUAUUAAAGAUAAACAUGUUAAAUUAAUAUCUAAUAUAAAUCUAAUAAUAAACAAAGUGAAUUGAAAUAUCUUAAUAACUUUAGGAAAAAAAAUCAAACGAGAUUUUAUUAUUAGUGCAAACUAAUAUAAAAAAGCUUACAAGUAAAAUGGAAAAUAUCUGUUUGAAUAAAGGGGAACCUUCCUCUAAAGCUAAAUAUAAUAUAUAAGCGAUAGCGAAUAGUACCGUGAGUAUAGAUAUAAAUAGUAGUUUUAUAAGCAGCUCAAA
rnacentral:ncRNA from 1 species